rnacentral:rRNA from 1 species
CCUACGGGAGGCUGCAGUGGGGAAUAUUGGGCAAUGUGCGCAAGCCUGACCCAGCAACGCCGCGUGAAGGAAGAAGGCUUUCGGGUUGUACACUUCUUUUCUCAGGGACGAAGCAAGUGACGGUACCUGAGGAAUAAGCCACGGCUAACUACGUGCCAGCAGCCGCGGUAAUACGUAGGUGGCAAGCGUUAUCCGGAUUUACUGGGUGUAAAGGGCGUAUAGGCGGGACUGCAAGUCAGAAGUGAAAACCACGGGCUCAACAUGUGGCCUGCAUGUGAACCGGUAGUUCGUGAGUACUGGAGAGGCAGACGGAAUUCCUAGUGUAGCGGUGAAAUGCGUAGAUAUUAGGAGGAACACCAGUGGCGAAGGCGGUCUGCUGGACAGCAACUGACGCUGAGGCGCGAAAGCGUGGGGAGCAAACAGGAGUAGAUACCCCUGUAGUC